rnacentral:rRNA from 1 species
UACGUAGGGUGCAAGCGUGUCCGGAAUUAUUGGGCGUAAAGAGCUCGUAGGCGGUUUGUCGCGUCUGCUGUGAAACGCGGGGCUCAACUCCGCGCCUGCAGUGGGUACGGGCAGACUAGAGUGCAGUAGGGGAGACUGGAAUUCCUGGUGUAGCGGUGAAAUGCGCAGAUAUCAGGAGGAACACCAGCGGCGAAGGCGGCGCUCUGGGCUGGCACUGACGCUGAGGAGCGAAAGCGUGGGUAGCGAACAGG